UACGAAGGGGGCUAGCGUUGUUCGGAAUUACUGGGCGUAAAGCGCACGUAGGCGGACAUUUAAGUCAGGGGUGAAAUCCUGGAGCUCAACUCCAGAACUGCCUUUGAUACUGAGGAGCUUGAGUCCGGGAGAGGUGAGUGGAACUGCGAGUGUAGAGGUGAAAUUCGUAGAUAUUCGCAAGAACACCAGUGGCGAAGGCGGCUCACUGGCCCGGUACUGACGCUGAGGUGCGAAAGCGUGGGGAGCAAACAGG
rnacentral:rRNA from 1 species